AUACGUAGGUGGCAAGCGUUGUCCGGAUUUAUUGGGCGUAAAGCGAGCGCAGGCGGUUUCUUAAGUCUGAUGUGAAAUCCCCGGGCUCAACCUGGGAACUGCAUUCGAAACUGGCAGGCUAGAGUCUUGUAGAGGGGGGUAGAAUUCCAGGUGUAGCGGUGAAAUGCGUAGAUAUAUGGAGGAACACCAGUGGCGAAGGCGGCUCUCUGGUCUGUAACUGACGCUGAGGCUCGAAAGCGUGGGGAGCAAACAGGAUUAGAUACCCUGGUAGUCCACGCCGUAAACGAUGAGUGCUAAGUGUUGGAGGGUUUCCGCCCUUCAGUGCUGCAGCUAACGCAUUAAGCACUCCGCCUGGGGAGUACGACCGCAAGGUUGAA
rnacentral:rRNA from 1 species